GAAAGUAAGCAAGGGCAGACGGUGGAUGCCUUGGCUCUCGGAGGCGACGAAGGACGUGAUAAGCUGCGAAAAGCCCGGGGGAGGCGCAAAUAGCCGUUGAUCCCGGGAUAUCCGAAUGGGGCAACCCGGCAGGCUGAAGGCCUGUCAUCCCGAAAGGGAGGCGAACGUGGGGAACUGAAACAUCUAAGUACCCAUAGGAGGAGAAAAUAAACAAUGAUUCCGUAAGUAGUGGCGAGCGAACACGGAAGAGCCCAAACCCAUGUCGUCUAGGCGACACGGGGGUUGUAGGACCACGACGUGGCAAGAAGGAAGGGAAAUGGAACGCCUUGGAAAAGUCGGCCAUAGACGGUGAAAGCCCGGUACAUGACUCCCUUACGAAGCCUAGUGGUAUCCUGAGUAGCGCGGGGCACGAGAAAUCUUGCGUGAAGCAGCGGGGCCCAUCCCGUAAGGCUAAAUACUCCCGAGAGACCGAUAGCGAACCAGUACCGUGAGGGAAAGGUGAAAAGAACCCCGAGCAGGGGAGUGAAAUAGACCCUGAACCCGUCUGCCUACAAGCGGUCGGAGCGUCGUAAUGACGUGACGGCGUGCCUUUUGCAUAAUGAACCUACGAGUUACCUUCCCCGGCAAGGUUAAGUUCUUGAGGAACGGAGCCGAAGCGAAAGCGAGUCUGAACAGGGCGCCAAGUCGGGGGGGGUAGACGCGAAACCGAGUGAUCUACCCUUGGCCAGGUUGAAGGUUGGGUAACACCAACUGGAGGACCGGAUGGGUAAGCGUUGAAAAGCUUUCCAAUGAGCUGAGGGUAGGGGUGAAAGGCUAAUCAAACUCGGAGAUAGCUCGUACUCCCCGAAAUGCAUUUAGGUGCAGCCUCUUUAUAGUAUAUCGUGAGGUAGAGCGACUGAUUGGAUGCGAGGGCUUCACCGCCUAUCAAGUCCAGAUAAACUCCGAAUGCGCGAUAUAUAUUUACAGGGAGUGAGGGCGCGGGUGCUAAGGUCCGUGUCCGAGAGGAGAAGAAUCCAGACCACCGGCUAAGGCCCCCAAAUGAUCGUUAAGUUGAACUAACGAGGUCGGAUCGCAGAGACAGCUAGGAUGUUGGCUUGGAAGCAGCCAUUCAUUUAAAGAGUGCGUAACAGCUCACUAGUCGAGCGAUCUGGCGUGGAUAAUAAUCGGGCAUAAACGAUCUGCCGAAGCCGUGGAUGUCGCAAGACAUGGUAGGGGAGCAUUCCAUGCCGCGUCGAAGAUGAGGGAUGACCCUUGUUGGAGCGCAUGGAAAAGCAAAUGUAGGUAUGAGUAACGAUAAGGGGGGCGAGAAACCCCCCCGCCGAAAGACCAAGGUUUCCUGAUCAACGCUAAUCGGAUCAGGGUGAGUCGGGACCUAAGGCAAAGCCGAACGGCGCCGCCGAUGGAAGAAUGGGUUAAUAUUCCCAUACUGCCUCAUGGAGUGACGUGGAGACGGAGAAGUGACAGUCCUGCCGGCUGACGGAAUAGCCGGUUGAAGGGUGUAGAUAUUGAUUCCCGUAGGCAAAUCCGCGGGGAGAGUCGAACCUGAGAGUAUACGGAGCGCUUGCGCAACGUAAUAUGGACGUAACCAUGCUCCCGAGAAAAUCCGCUAAACUUAUCCAUGCGGCACCCGUACCGUAAACGGACACACGUGGUCGGGUUGAGAAUACUGAGGCGCUCGAGUGAUUCACGGUUAAGGAACUAGGCAAAUUGACCCUGUAACUUCGGGAUAAAGGGUCCUCGUCGUAAGGCGAGGCGCAGAGAAUAGGUCCAGGCAACUGUUUAACAAAAACACAUGGCUGUGCUAAAUGGAAACAUGAUGUAUACAGCCUGACACCUGCCCGGUGCUGGAAGGUUAAGAGGAGAUGUCAUCGCAAGAGAAGCGUUGAAUUGAAGCCCCAGUAAACGGCGGCCGUAACUAUAACGGUCCUAAGGUAGCGAAAUUCCUUGUCGGGUAAGUUC
rnacentral:rRNA from 1 species